CAAUAGCGUAUAUUUAAGUUGUUGCAGUUAAAAAGCUCGUAGUUGGAUUUCGGAUGGGACUUGCCGGUCCGUCGUUUCGAUGUGCACUGGCCAGUCCUAUCUUGUUGUCGGGGACUAGCUCCUGGGCUUCACUGUCCGGGACUAGGAGCUGACGAUGUUACUUUGAGUAAAUUAGAGUGUUCAAAGCAAGCCUACGCUCUGAAUACAUUAGCAUGGAAUAACACGAUAGGACUCUGGCUUAUCUUGUUGGUCUGUGAGACCAGAGUAAUGAUUAAGAGGGACAGUCGGGGGCAUUCGUAUUUCAUUGUCAGAGGUGAAAUUCUUGGAUUUAUGAAAGACGAACUUCUGCGAAAGCAUUUGUCAAGGAUGUUUUCAUUAA
rnacentral:rRNA from 1 species